GCAUCGAAGAAACUCAAUAUGGAGUUUUCUUUCAACAUGGCAAGAUUAGCUAUUUGGGCAGGAAACUGCUCUUGCCUGGACUGUUUGUUUCUGUAUAAACUGGACAUGCAGGACCCACAAGAAAGUAACUGCUGAACUUACAAAACAAGACAGUACUUGAAGGGUUCCUGUUGAAAUGAAGAAGUGUGCCAAACACACUAUGGCCUAUGGGCUGAAGAUGGAUGCCCCAACGUUACAGAGGAACUUUGGUUGACUGUCCAGGUAGAGAGAUGUCUCUGUCAAUUCUAGAGUUUAUAUAUUAUCCUUCUGUGGUCUUUGAUAGAGUUGAAGACAGAUAGUUAUGGUUAUAGUUUUUUCAGUUAUUAUAAAAGAUAAGUUAUCCUUCUUUUUAUUUAGACAGAAAAGAGGAGAUGAUGGGGAAUGUACUUCUGUGUAUGUUCAUCUUAUUGAUUGUUGAAUAAAGUACUGUUUGGCCAAUGAGACAGCUAGUUGGGGGGGACUAGGAGUCAAGGAGGAUUCUGGGAAAUGUAGUAAAGAAGUGGUGACCUGCAGGAAGUGACAUAGCAGGGAGACUCAUAUAUAAACAAGGGCAAGAAGGAAGUGGGCCCCCUUUCUCUUCCUCCAGAGUCACCAUGUGAUCCCAGGAUGAGGACACCAAUGGAAGCAAGCAGAGGGGACCACUUCAGAAACUAUGGAUUUCUAAAACAGCAUUGCAGAGUGUGGAGAAGUACAUAAAGCCACCUAAAAUUGACGCUCUGAGAGAAGCCUGUGUUGCCUUUGAUUGACCAGGAAAAGCCACAAUGAUCAACAGACUAAACCACCUCUGAAAAUGGUUUUCAGUCUGCCGAGACUCUUCUGUCAUAAUUCUAGGCAUUCAUCACCAAUCCUGAGGCUCUGGCUUUCUCUUUCAGCUUUCGACAGCUUUACUUAAAAAAAUCUUUUCCUGGAACCAGCUGGCCUCAUUUGUACACAAAACUUGGCUUAAUAACCAGAAAUGUCUGAGGCUGCAUGAACUUUCAAGUGCUUAUCUUCAACGUCCCAGGCAGGCUUUUUGUCUGAAGGACGGGUAACAUGGGUGAGUGAGACAGAGUCUCACUAUGCAGUCCAGGCUGGCCUUGAUCAGAAUCUUUUUGCCCCUAUCUCUUGCCUGCUGGGGUCACAAGUGUAUGGGACCAUCCUGUAUCACUUCAUUAGACCAUUGCAAUGUUGGUCUUUCAGAUGCCAGGCCACACAGUAUUAUUUACUAAUGAAUCCAAAUAUCUGGAAGGCCAUAUUCAGUGCAAUUAGAGAAACCUAAAAUACAGUAAAUAUUCUUUAAAAUUCUGUUUUGAGUCGAGUGUGGUGGCACAAGCCUUUAACUCCGGUACUUGUGAGACAGAGGCAGGUGAAUCUCUGAGUGUUCAAGGCCAGGCUGAUCUACAGGGGGAGUUCCAGGACAGCCAGAGGUAAUAGGGAGACCCUGUCUCAAAAAAACAAAACAAAGCUACCCUCUUGAAGUUAUCACUACACCAAGUAGCUUCUUAAUACAAUUUACUAGUAGAGGAUGAAAAACGGUGUCUGCUGAUUACCUUUGCCUCUGUCCCUUUGUAUUUACCUUUAUUUAGAAUAAAGACUAUGCAGUUCUACGUGAGCUACAAGGUCUCUGCAAUUAAGUAACCUAAAUAAAAUCGCAUUUCUAUAUAAACAAACUUGUAGGGCCCAGGUAGAGAGCUCAUUCAGUAAAGUGCUUGCCAUGCAGAUAUGAGGGGUACCUCCAGCACCCCUAUUAAAAUCCAGGUGUGGUGGCAUUGCCUGUAAUCCCAGUAUAGGGAAGACAGAGACAAGAAAACCCCUCUAGGGACUCACGCACCUGCCAGCCUAGCCUAAUGGGUGAGCCCCAGGAUCAAUGAGAGACCCUAUUUAUAAAAACAAGAAGGAUGGCUCCUCCAAGGUUGAGCUCUGGCCGCCAUGAGCACCUAAAUACACAUGUACCCGAACACAUGCAUAUUGAUCCACAUGCAUACCUGUGUGUACACACAGAGGAGCUGGACCACAUUAGCUAAACUUGCCCUUAUGAGGUCUAUAAUGUUUUUCUCGGCUUCAGUUUCCAGUGCACCCAUAAGGAGUUUGUUGUGAAUCAUUGGGUACUUUCAGAAGCUCUUUUGAGAUCUUUCCCAUCCUGACCAAAGAUUUCACCAGUGUUACCAUCCAGGCACACAUAGGCCCUGCCCCUUGGGGACCUAGCAGAGUGCAAGCAGUACCCUGGCUCUACUCAGGGGCAAAAGGUCCCUUUACAAGACAAGCUCUGCUCUCUCUUUUCUGCUGUCCCUCUGAAGAAUCAGGUCUUUGCCCCCCUCUCUGGUUUUUGUUCAUUUGUAAAAACUAUUCUUUCCUUUAUGUCAA
rnacentral:lncRNA from 1 species